GACGAACGCUGGCGGCGUGCUUAACACAUGCAAGUCGAACGGUGAACCUCUUCGGAGGGGAUCAGUGGCGAACGGGUGAGUAACACGUGGGCAACCUGCCCCCGGCUCUGGGAUAACUCCAAGAAAUUGGGGCUAAUACCGGAUGUUCACCGCUUCCCGCGUGGGUGGGGGUGGAAAGGGUUUCCGGCUGGGGAUGGGCCCGCGGCCUAUCAGCUUGUUGGUGGGGUAGUGGCCUACCAAGGCGACGACGGGUAGCCGGCCUGAGAGGGUGACCGGCCACACUGGGACUGAGACACGGCCCAGACUCCUACGGGAGGCAGCAGUGGGGAAUAUUGCGCAAUGGGCGGAAGCCUGACGCAGCGACGCCGCGUGGGGGAUGACGGCCUUCGGGUUGUAAACCUCUUUCAGCAGGGACGAAGCGCAAGUGACGGUACCUGCAGAAGAAGCACCGGCCAACUACGUG
rnacentral:rRNA from 1 species